UACGUAGGGUGCGAGCGUUGUCCGGAAUUAUUGGGCGUAAAGAGCUCGUAGGCGGUGUGUCGCGUCGGCCGUGAAAACCUGGGGCUCAACUCUGGGCGUGCGGUCGAUACGGGCAUCACUGGAGUUCGGCAGGGGAGACUGGAAUUCCUGGUGUAGCGGUGAAAUGCGCAGAUAUCGGGAGGAACACCAGUGGCGAAGGCGGCACUCUGGGCCGGUACUGACGCUGAGGAGCGAAAGCGUGGGGAGCGAUCCGG
rnacentral:rRNA from 1 species